GGGCCAAAAACAUCUCGUUCAGCGUCAAGGAAGCGUCACGAAACGGCUUCAAGGAGGCCGAGGCGCUGACAGUCAACUCCAGCGACGCCCAGCAAAAGGUGCUUAACGACAUUCUGCUUGCCAGCAACACGCUUCGACAAAAGGUGGAAGAGACACAUGUCGUGUUGAGCCAGGCGACGCCCCGAAUCAGUGGAUCGCUGGAGAAGACUGUUGGUGGAAUGAAGAAACCCGAUGAGCAGACACAUGUACGCCCAUCUACAGCUUGAUCUCUGAACCGGGGAAGGUAAAUGUUCGUGUCAGUCGCUAUCUACACGCUAGCUGAGAAUAUAGAUAGCCGCUGACAGACAUGAGGGAGGGUCAGACGACAUAAGAGGGACCAGAAGACAUACGGAAGGGCUAGCAAACGUGUUUAGAGGUCAAAAAAACACGUCCAAUGGGUCAGCAAAUGCUUCGGACCGUCUAGCAGAUUUGAAUGAGCCACUCACUGAAGCUCGACAAUGGCUUAGUGUGAGGUCUAGAGCUCUCCAAGAGCUCAUUUGACACUCAAAGCACUUGUCCGACCUUUCAAUGGUUGGACCCAGUUUUUAAUAACAAUGGAGUGGUCCUAGGAAUGGAUGAAGAUCCUGCCCCAUUAAACACGCGACUCAUACAGCUGGUUUUAGAUAUCUUGAUCCAGCUCCGAUGUGCUAAUAGUUUUCCUAUACUUGCUACAAGCAACACGAAGGCAACACAAAGACAUAAUACUUAGACUAGAUCUUGUAGAGGAAUGUGUUUUGAAGACACCAUCACAAGUAUUUGCAAUAUAAGGACAACAAGAUUCCUGUUCAACAUUA
rnacentral:misc_RNA from 1 species